rnacentral:rRNA from 1 species
UGGGGAAUAUUGCACAAUGGGCGCAAGCCUGAUGCAGCCAUGCCGCGUGUAUGAAGAAGGCCUUCGGGUUGUAAAGUACUUUCAGCGAGGAGGAAGGCGAUGCGGUUAAUAACCGUGUCGAUUGACGUUACUCGCAGAAGAAGCACCGGCUAACUCCGUGCCAGCAGCCGCGGUAAUACGGAGGGUGCAAGCGUUAAUCGGAAUUACUGGGCGUAAAGCGCACGCAGGCGGUCUGUCAAGUCGGAUGUGAAAUCCCCGGGCUCAACCUGGGAACUGCAUUCGAAACUGGCAGGCUAGAGUCUUGUAGAGGGGGGUAGAAUUCCAGGUGUAGCGGUGAAAUGCGUAGAGAUCUGGAGGAAUACCGGUGGCGAAGGCGGCCCCCUGGACAAAGACUGACGCUCAGGUGCGAAAGCGUGGGGAGCAAACA